UCUCAUCCCCCGCUCUUGUUUUUUGUUGCUUCCUGCUUCUCUCUCGCGUGUGGAAUUUCGCUGCCGAGUUUGGUUAGUUGGAGCGCCGCCGGCGGAAUCGGGAGUUGGUUUCGGCAAAACUUUGGGAUCUUGUUAGGUGAAACAGUGGAAAGGUUGGAUCUUGGCUGCUAAUUUUUUUCUCAUGCCGGCUUCGGUUUUGUACCUUAGGCCAGCUGUCAGAGAUCUGUUUAGUUGAAUUUGUAAAGUUCCUAUGAAAAUUUGUUGGGAACUCAGAUUGUGCACCUUGGGCUCAUCACCCAUGUUUAAUUGUAAACCUGGAGUAAGCUACUAGCUGUUUAAUAUGGCUAAUUUACAUCACCUGGCUCUUAUGACAUCGGCCUUUGCUGUAACUAUGGCCUCUAUGAUGUUGCAGGAAGCCGACUUGAAGCAAUUCAGACAAUGGGGAAGCUCGACCCCGGGCCACCCUGAGAACUUUGAGACCCCUGGAGUUGAAGUCACCACUGGUCUGUUAAUCUCAGCUGAGCUCAUAGUAACUUUGAACUGCCAUACUAGAGCAUGAAACUAAAAGUUUGGACUUCUGUUUGACUUAUGCAGGUCCUCUUGGUCAGGGUAUUGCAAACGCGGUCGGAUUGGCACUUGCCGAGAAGCACCUGGCUGCUCGUUUCAACAAGCC
rnacentral:lncRNA from 1 species